UUGCUGCCUCGGCUAGAUAGUGCAAGGGCAGCCUUUAAGCAGCUGAAGCAUUCCCUGAGGAGAGCUGUGGGUCUGCCAGAUGUGUCAGAAGUGUUGGAAGCAUCUUUGGUGGGGAGGGCAAAGAAAGGCCAAGGGGUGCAGUGACCCCCCUGAGAAGGGACUUUGAGUUAAUGGCAUCCCUGCAAGUGAACUUUGUGGGCUGUUCCCCCUGUAGGGCAGGUGAUAGUCCCAGCUACAGUGAUGGGAGAAAUGGUUAAAAGGGAGCCCCAAAAGCUGGAAAUGCUCCUGGAGGCUCUUGGCAAAGAGAGUUUGCUGAGUUUCCCCUGACAGAAGGACAGUGACAGCUUUUGAGUGCUGGUAGAUCCUUUGAAUAGAUAGCCUUGAGUGUGUCCUUGUUGCCCCAGUAGGCCUUGUCCAACUCCCCAUCUUCCAGGGGAUAGACAUAUUAAAGUUUAAAAUGCUCUUCCUAAUCCUUUGUUGGCUUGAGGCUCUCCCCUCAGGAACUGCAGGAACUCCUGGUGCCGCCUGGGCCGAUGGAUUGGACGCCCCAGCCCCUCCGUUCCUGCCCAGCCCCUGGGUCCGUGUCCAGUGGUGGCACUGCCAGCCCUGCAGGUGAAGUGGGAAGGGCCUUUGCAGCUCUUGUGGGUCACAUUUAUAGCAGGUAAAGUUGCAGAAAAAGGACCUGGGUUAUGUUUUCUUGAGUUCAGAAAGCUCCUUUUGAUAGGUGAGCAGCACAAAGUGGAUCCUUCAGAGUUCCCAUCCGUGUUUGUGUCUCAGCCUGUGUUAGGAUUCAGGGCUGUCAGUUGUUGUCACUGAGGAGUCAAACUAUGCUUUAAAUCAUGAGACACUGGCUUAAUGAGUAAGUGUGAAGAAAAAAGGUGGAAUGCUGUCUGAGUGUUGAGAUGUAACAAGGGCUCCAGACAGAGAAGACCUGGGAAGGCCCUUGGAAACCUUCUAAGGGUAGGUGUGUAUUUUAAAAAUUUUUGGGAAAAUGUCCUGAAUGUGGAACAGGAAUGCAGGGAAGGAAAAUGAGCCCUCCUGUAAUGCUGACCCCUCCCAUCAGCUGCAGUGGAGACCCCUCCGUGUGCCCUUUGGGAGCGGAUUGCCAGGACACCCGUGGGGCUGGGAUCAUGGCAGGGUGUUGUAAGCAAGGAAUGCCUGGCUUCUAAAAGUCACCAGCUGAGUCUUAGAGGCUUCUUUGAAGAGCUGAGUUCAGGCAGCAGAAUUGGCCCCCAGGAGGGACUCUGUGCCUGCUCUCCCGUGGCUCCAAGGGAUCUCUGGCCCUUCACGCCGGCACCAAGAUUUUCUCGGGAAGGGCCUCAGAUCCCCGGACCAGUCUGGGACACAGGCAAGAUCCCCCUGCAGUUUGGGACCAAAUUGGCCCCCUGGAGGGACAGUGCUGUUGGUGCCCCCGGGUUGGGGCACCCCGAGGACUCCAGCGCGCACCGAAAGGAUUAUUCGGGGAGAUCCUCGGGGUGCCCGGCCCUGGGGAGCUCAAAGCAAGGUCCCUGCCAUGGAUUCAGGCAUUGCUGAGAGUAUCCCAGGGGUCCCUGUCCCUGCUAGACAUGGAGCUCUCUAAUGGACUGUAAUUGGGUGAUAAAAGUGGUGUUCCAAGUGCCAGAGAAGUGUGGGAUUGGGAUUAAGAAAUGAGCAGUGAGGGUCCAAUUGGCUGUUUUCUCUGGAAUGUGACUGUGAGAGCAGCAGGAGUGCCAGGUGUGUGUUCCAGUCCCCAGCAUUUGGUUUGCACAUGUCCUGGUCAGACACAGGUCCAACUUCCUCACUCCUUAACACAACAGAAGGAGUGUGGCUCCUUGUUUUCCUGUGUCUUUGGUGAGGUGUUGACUCAGUACCUUUCUUGGGGGCACUUCUUCAUCCAAGAGCAGCUCCAAUUCGCCUGUAAGGGGCUGGUUUUCUUUCCUGCUUCUCCCAACUUGUCCAGGAGAUGGAAUUCCAGUGCUACAGAACAGAUGGCUUGUGGUGCUCCCAAAAGGAGCCUUUGUGCCUUCAGGGGACACUGAGCUGGUCCAGCUGCGGCAAGAAGAGCAAGUGGGCUGUGAAGGUUUGGAGCAGUCUGGAAGGUUCCUCGUGCCCAAAGGAUCCUGGAAGUGCAGCUCAGGAGCUGUCAGGAAUAAUGAUAAGUGCCCCAGUUCUUGUGAAUCUCAACUGUGUAAAACAUUUAUGGAGCUAAAAUUCCACAGCCUUGAGCUGUUGGGUGCCAAAGAAUAGUGGAGGGAGAGGCAGAAAAUCCCCCUGCUGCUGGGGCUGAACUGUCUGCACUGAGGGGGCAGGACUUGGCCCUGAUGCCUGAGUGCUCUCCAGCCCCCCAGGCUGGAUCCCAACUCUCAGCCCCUGGCUCCAUCCCUUGAGAAGAUGGUGUUCCUGCAAGCCCAGCUGCUGUGCUGGUGGUCCUGUGGGCACCUCCUGCCCUGGCCUGCUGUGCCUGUGUUUGUGUUGCAGCUCAAUAAAGUCCCUUUCAGUGGUGA